rnacentral:rRNA from 1 species
CGAGAAAUCCUGUCUGAAGAUGGGGGGACCAUCCUCCAAGGCUAAAUACUCGUGAUCGACCGAUAGUGAACCAGUACCGUGAGGGAAAGGCGAAAGUUACAUGGAUUAGACCCGAAACCACAGUGAUCUAUGCAUGGCCAGGUUGAAGCUCAGGUAAAAAUGAGUGGAGGACCGAACCCGUGAGUGUUGAAAAACUUUGGGAUGAGCUGUGCAUAGGGGUGAAAUGCCAAUCGAACGUGGAGAUAGCUGGUUCUCCCCGAAAUAGCUUUAGGGCUAGCCUCAGGCGACACAUAAAGACGGUAGAGCACUGGAUGGGCUAGGGGUCUUACCGGAUUACCAAACCCAACCAAACUCCGAAUACCGCGGAGCGCUGUCCGGGAGUCAGGCAGCGGGAGAUAAGUCCGUUGCCGAGAGGGAAAGAGCCCAGAUCGUCAGCUAAGGCCCCAAAAUCCACACUCAGUGUCAAAGGAUGUGGGGGCGCUCUGACAGCCAGGAGGUUGGCUUAGAAGCAGCCACC